rnacentral:rRNA from 1 species
GACGAACGCUGGCGGCGUGCUUAACACAUGCAAGUCGAACGGUGAAGCGCCUUCCUUUUUGGUGGGUGUGGAUGAGUGGCGAACGGGUGAGUAACACGUGAGUAACCUGCCCCCUUCUUCUGGAUAACCGCAUGAAAGUGUGGCUAAUACGGGAUAUUCUGGGUCUGUCGCAUGAUGGGUCUGGGAAAGAUAUUGUUUCGGUGGGGGAUGGGCUCGCGGCCUAUCAGCUUGUUGGUGUGGUGAUGGCCUACCAAGGCGGUGACGGGUAGCCGGCCUGAGAGGGUCGACGGUCACACUGGGACGGAAACACGGCCCAGACUCCUACGGGAGGCAGCAGGGAGGAAUAUUGCACAAUGGGCGCAAGCCUGAUGCAGCGACGCCGCGUGAGUGAUGGAGGCCUUCGGGUUGUGAACCGCUUUCGCCAGUGAAGCAGGCCUGCCUCGUUUGUGGGUGGGUUGACGGUAGCUGGAUAAGAAGCGCCGGCUAACUACGUG